rnacentral:sRNA from 1 species
GUCGCGCGGCCGCCGAAUCCGCGUCAUGCGGAGCCGGGGACCCACUCUCUCGGGGUGAAUCGGCGCGCAGGCCCCCAGAUGCGCCCGUAGGGCACUUCCUGCCCGAACCCGUCAGCUAACCCGGUAGGCGGAAUGGAAGCAAGGA